GACCAACGCUAGCGGCCCGCUUAACACAUGCAAGUCGAACGGUAAGGCCCUGCAUGCGUGGGGCACUCGAGUGGCAAACUGGUGCGUACCACGUCAGUAACCUGCCCUUGACUUUGGUUUAACCUCACUUAACUGUGGCCAAUACCGGAAUGCACCUCCUGCUGCACGGUUGGGCUUGGAACCUUUCGGCGGUUGGGGAUGGACUCGCGGCUUACCAGCUUGUUGGUGGGGUACUGGCUUACCAAGGCUUUGCCGGGUUGCCGGCCUGAGAGGGUGACCAGCCACAUUGGUACUGAGAUACGGCCGGAACCCCUACGGGAGCCAGCAUUAAGGGGUAGAGCCCGAUGAGCGGAAGCCGGAUGCAGCAACGCCGCGUGCGGGAUGGGGGCCUGCUGUUGGUAAUCCGCUUACGCCUGUGACGAAGCUUAAGUGACGGUACUAGGUCAAUAAGCACCGGCUAACUACGUG
rnacentral:rRNA from 1 species